rnacentral:rRNA from 1 species
UACGUAGGUGGCAAGCGUUGUCCGGAUUUACUGGGUGUAAAGGGCGUGCAGCCGGGCUGACAAGUCAGAUGUGAAAUCCCGCGGCUCAACCGCGGAACUGCAUUUGAAACUGUCAGUCUUGAGUACCGGAGAGGUCAUCGGAAUUCCUUGUGUAGCGGUGAAAUGCGUAGAUAUAAGGAAGAACACCAGUGGCGAAGGCGGCUUACUGGACUGUAACUGACGUUGAGGCUCGAAAGCGUGGGGAGCAAACAGG